rnacentral:rRNA from 1 species
UGGCUCAGGAUAAACGCUGGCGGCGUGCUUAACACAUGCAAGUCGAACGGAGUGGUUCUCCCGAGGAUUGAUAGUGCUUGCACUUGAUUGACUCAUUGAAUCACUUAGUGGCGGACGGGUGAGUAACGCGUGGGAAACCUGCCCUAUACUGGGGGAUAGCAGUUGGAAACGACUGAUAAUACCGCAUAAGCGCACAGCUUCGCAUGAAGCAGUGUGAAAAACUCCGGUGGUAUAGGAUGGUCCCGCGUCUGAUUAGCUAGUUGGUGAGGUAACGGCCCACCAAGGCGACGAUCAGUAGCCGGCCUGAGAGGGUGUACGGCCACAUUGGGACUGAGACACGGCCCAAACUCCUACGGGAGGCAGCAGUGGGGAAUAUUGGACAAUGGGGGAAACCCUGAUCCAGCCGACGCCGCGUGAACGAUGAAGUAUUUCGGUAUGUAAAGUUCUAUCAGCAGGGAAGAUAAUGACGGUACCUGACUAAGAAGCACCGGCUAAAUACGUGCCAGCCGCAGC